CGGGGGGAGCAAGCGUUGUUCGGAUUUACUGGGCGUAAAGGGCGCGUAGGCGGCCACCGCAAGUCGACUGUGAAAUCUCCGGGCUUAACUCGGAAAGGUCAGCCGAUACUGCGGGGCUAGAGUGCAGAAGGGGCAACUGGAAUUCUCGGUGUAGCGGUGAAAUGCGUAGAUAUCGAGAGGAACACCUGCGGCGAAGGCGGGUUGCUGGGCUGACACUGACGCUGAGGCGCGAAAGCUAGGGGAGCGAACGGGAUUAGAUACCCCGGUAGUCCUAGCCUUAAACGAUGGAUGCUUGGUGUCUGGGGUUUUAUAGUCCCCGGGUGCCGUCGCUAACGCUUUAAAGCAUCCCGCCUGGGGAGUACGGUCGCAAGACUAG
rnacentral:rRNA from 1 species